UGGCUCAGGACGAACGCUGGCGGCGUGCUUAACACAUGCAAGUCGAGCGGUAAGGCCCCUUCGGGGGUACACGAGCGGCGAACGGGUGAGUAACACGUGAGCAACCUACCCUCAACUUUGGGAUAAGCCUCGGAAACGGGGUCUAAUACCGAAUAUCACUCCUUGUUUCAUGGCGGGGGGUUGAAAGUUCUGGCGGUUGGGGAUGGGCUCGCGGCCUAUCAGCUUGUUGGUGGGGUAAUGGCCUACCAAGGCGUCGACGGGUAGCCGGCCUGAGAGGGCGACCGGCCACACUGGGACUGAGACACGGCCCAGACUCCUACGGGAGGCAGCAGUGGGGAAUAUUGCGCAAUGGACGAAAGUCUGACGCAGCAACGCCGCGUGAGGGAUGACGGCCUUCGGGUUGUAAACCUCUUUCAGCAGGGACGAAGCGAGAGUGACGGUACCUGCAGAAGAAGGACCGGCCAACUACGUGCCAGCAGCCGCGGUAAUACGUAGGGUCCGAGCGUUGUCCGGAAUUAUUGGGCGUAAAGGGCUCGUAGGCGGUUCGUCACGUCGGGAGUGAAAACUCGGGGCUUAACCCCGAGCCUGCUUCCGAUACGGGCAGACUAGAGGUAGGCAGGGGAGAGCGGAACUCCUGGUGUAGCGGUGGAAUGCGCAGAUAUCAGGAAGAACACCGGUGGCGAAGGCGGC
rnacentral:rRNA from 1 species